rnacentral:lncRNA from 1 species
UUAGAGUAUAACUAGUGGAUGAAGACGUUAUUGGGCUAGCUAAUGACCUUUUGUGAUACCAGGUUUCCAAUAAUCCCCUCUAUUCAAGGCAUACCUAAAUGGUGUUUAUGUCCACUCAUGUAAAACAUCGCACAUGAUUAUACCACAUCGUUUCUCAAAAUAAAAUAAAGACCAAGGGAAAUUUAGCCAAAUUGCACGAGAGAACUGUCCAAACAUAGGUUAAGGUUGUAAGACACCUUUUUCCACCAUACAGUUGCUAAAAAGUUGGAAUAUAAAGAAUGCAAAACAAUAGAUCACCUUUUAAACCUCAAAUCACAUUUCUAUGAUAUUGUGGGCAUUGUAUUCACACUAGAGGGUAUUAGAGUACAACUAGUGGAUGAAGACGUUAUUGGGCUAGCUAAUGACCUUUUGUGAUACCUGGUUUCCAAUAAUCCCGUCUAUUCAUGGCAUCCUUAGAUGGUGUUUAUGUCCACUCAAGUAAAACACCACACAAAAAUAGUGUUUCUAUGAUAUUGAGGGCAUUGUAUUCGCACGAGAUGGUAUUAGAGUACAACUAGUGGAUGAAGACAUUAGUGGGCCAGCUAAUGACCUUUUGUGAUAAUAUGUUAACUAUAAUCCCGUCUAUUCAUGGCAUCCUUAGAUUGUGUUUAUGUCCACUCAAGUAAAACACCACACAUCAAUAUACCACAUCGUUUCUCAAAAUAAAAUAAAGACUAUGGAAAAUUUAGCCAAAUUGCGUGAGUGAACUGUCCAACAUAGGUUAAGGUUGUAAGACAACUUUUUCCACCAUAUAGUUGCUAAAAAGUUGGAAUAUAAAGAAUUCAAAACAAUAGAUCACCUUUUAAACCUCA